GGCUAGAGUUUGAUCAUGGCUCAGGACGAACGCUGGCGGCGUGCUUAACACAUGCAAGUCGAACGGACGUUACCGAUCAGAAUUUUUCGGAAGGACGAACGGUAAGGUUAGUGGCGGACGGGUGAGUAACACGUGGGUAAUCUACCGUAGAGACCGGGACAACAGUUGGAAACGACUGCUAAUACCGGAUGAAGUACAGAGUCGGCAUCGACUUUGUAUGAAAGGAGGCCUCUGGCAUAAGCUCCCGCUCUAUGAUGAGCCCGCGCCUGAUUAGCUAGUUGGUAGGGUAACGGCCUACCAAGGCGACGAUCAGUAGCCGGCCUGAGAGGGUGAUCGGCCACAUUGGGACUGAGACACGGCCCAAACUCCUACGGGAGGCAGCAGUGGGGAAUAUUCCGCAAUGGGCGCAAGCCUGACGGAGCAGCGCCGCGUGAAUGAAGAAGGUUUUCGGAUUGUAAAGUUCUGUUCUUAGGGACGAAGGACCCAUGCGAAGAGUGUGGGGGAUGACGGUACCUAAGGAGCAAGCUCCGGCUAACUACGUGCCAGCAGCCGCGGUAAUACGUAGGGAGCAAGCGUUGUCCGGAAUUACUGGGCGUAAAGGGCGCGUAGGCGGAUUGUUAAGUCAGAUGUGAAAUACCCGGGCUCAACCCGGGGGGUGCAUUUGAAACUGGCGAUCUUGAGGGCAGGAGAGGAAAGUG
rnacentral:rRNA from 1 species